GCUAGUAUGUAGCUCAGUGGUAGAGCACUUACCUAGCAUGCUUGAGGUCCUGGGUUCGAUCCCCAGGACUACCU
rnacentral:tRNA from 1 species